UAAAAUUAAAUCCUGACUGCGGACUCUCUCCCGACCGUGUGCAGACCUCUCACCGCACCAUUUGACACAGACAACACAAUUCAAACGGAUCCUCGGGGGAUCGUAACGUCAGAGCGCUGACCACGCGCGACCGACACCACGAUUGGCGGGAGACUGCGAGUAAAACGGCACGAGAGAGUUUACAUGAGGCCCCGGCCGUGGAUGAGUCAUCGCGCCGGGCGCCGAUUGGCCGGCCGCCGCCGUAGCCGUCGUGACGUUGGUACAUCGUGGCCCGAGCGUUGCCGAGCGUACGCGACGUGACGGCGAUUCUUUACGCGUGCCGUGCUCGGCCGCGGCGAUGUGGCCAGUUGAUUCUUUCAUGCGCCGAUAUACCGGGUGGCUCGCGCCGAACGUUUGAAUUCUUUCCUCUGGUACUCUUUAUUUUGCAGAGAGAUAAAAACAGGUUUCUCCUUUUUUAAAAAUAAUUUUUUUAAUUAAAUUUUUUUUAAUUUUAAAAUAAUUCUUUAAUGUGGAAAAAAUCAGUGAUAAUAAGGCACUGGGUCCUCUUAACCCCUUUUCGGGAAGAUAAAGUUGAAAAAGAAACCUGUUUUUUUUUUUAUAUAUAUGACUGUGAUGAUGACAGCAAACUUUAUUAAUGAAUUAUUUAUGUCUUAAAUGAAAGAAAUCUUAUAACGUUUAACGUAGAGAACAACAAUAAAAGCGACAUUAACUUAAAAAAAGAAAAUCAUUUUUUCCCCCAAAAUUUCACACAAUUUUUCCGUGGCUUUUUUAUAUGUCUUCAAUUUUACGAAAGCAGUAUUUCUCAUAUGAGAAGGACAAAUGUUAAUGACAAUUUUUGUAAACUUUUUGUCGGAGCAGAAUCGUAAAGUACGUAAAAUCACAAUUUUUUCCAAUUUCAAAAUUUCUUUCUAUAGACUUUUUACACUUUCUAUUUCUUUCAUUCGUAAAAAAAUGUCUUCCGCUAUAAAUGAUUUAAAUGUUUAAAGUUACGACGCAUUCUCGUCAACAGAUCUCAAUGCCGCAGAUUGAAUCAGAUAAUAGGAUCCGUUUGGAUUAAGCCUGCGGAUUCAGACUCCAGGAACGAAUGAUCUAAGGGUCUAAACAUCGAAAGAUCUACGCAUGGAAAUUCCUUCGAUGUUAAUGACUAACCGCUUCGAGCGAAACGUUUAUUAUGCUUCCGACGAAACGUCAUUCUGUUCUUUCUUUCUUUUUUUUUUAAUCGCGAUUUCAAGGUCUCUCGCGAGACGCUAGAUCGCGAUCGGCGUGAUUAAGGAUCCAUAGGAUCGCGUCAUUGCGUAUAUACGAGUGACGUCGCGCGGCUCCAGAGCGGAAUUCGUAAACCUUUUCGGCAUAUAUACGUUUCAUGCAAGUGACACAUGGUGUUAUAUUUAGAUUCAUGAUUCCAGAUUCUGGGAUCUCUUGGAAAAAGUAUGCGAAUCCCGGCAUUCUUCCCUAGUUACACAUUAGAGUCUUGUUCUCCUUCUCAAUGUCAGACGAAUAAACUUGUAUAAAUAAAAAAAGUGAAAACUGUACCCUUUGACAGGCAAAUUGUAGCAGAAUUGUAAGAACGAUAGUGACAUUAGAAAUUGACAAAAAUUUGCACUAAUUCACCAUAGAAUAACAAUAAUAAAAUUUGUUAGGAUAACAUUUUUAAUAAAAUUGAAAAAAAAAUGGAAAAAAAAUCCUUGAAAUCUAAAUAAUGAUCUAUAUUCGAUUUUAUUCUUUAAAAAUUUUGAAACUUUGUUAUGCUGACUGUAGUACUUCAUGCUACAAUAUUUCUAGAUUAUAAUUUAAAAUUAAUUAUUUAUAUUUAUAAGCAUACAUAUGUAUGGUAGAUCAAUUUGUGUUAUUCUAUUAUGCAUAAUUAUAUUUUAAAAUCAUUAAUGUUAUGCAAGAUUUCAUAAAUGUUUCCUAUCGAGCCGUUUUCUGAAGAGAUACUUGCAUUUGUAAAUUGACUUUUACGGUCUUGGAUCCUUAAAUCAUUGUACCUUUCGACACUCGGGAUUUUAGGAUACUUGAACUAGGAUUUUUCUUCAGACUUUCAAGUCCUUCAAAAUGCUCGGAUUCUUAUGCCUAGAGUAGCUUAACGAGAACCGGAAAACACGUGUAAUAGCCAUGUGAUUCUAUUACCAAGAAGAUUAAUCCGUUUCUAUAUUCUCCUUUUCCUCGUCGGUGAAUUAUUCGCUAAGAAUAAAUUUUGAAUAUGCAAUGUAGCUCUUACGGGCAUAAUGCCUUGGAUUCGCACAAACUAUUAAAAUUAAAUUCAAUUUUCGUCCCAUUGAUAAAGAUUUGUUGAUCUAGCUAGCCUUGAUCUAUAAUUUUUAUUGUUCAAUGAGAUACAAGUGUUUCUAAAUAAAUCUAUAUCUAUUUACAUUUUAAUAAAUAAAUAGCUACCGAUAUUAAUUUAAAAAAUAAAUAGUUAUAUCUGUAUAUAUCAACUUUUAUUAAGUAAAUAAUUACAUAUGAUAGCUAUCCGUAUCAAUUAACAAGUAGCUAAAUUAAAAAUAAGUAGAUAGCAAAGAAAAGCUAAUUUGUUAAAUCUAUAUUGAGGUACAGACAUUUAAAAUUUAAAAUAAGGACGAUCAGUCUUUUUAUAGUCUUGUUAAGAAUAAACAGUGGAUACGUGACGCUAAUUACCGCACCUUAGUCGGUCCUUUCGAGUCACCGAUCGCGGAUUUCGCGAAAAUUUAUUUUAGACGCGAGAAAGUGCAAUGACAAAAUUAACAGACCCGACACUCGCCAACUUGCGCAUUUGUUUUCACGACUAUGCACUAAAAUACGGCGAGCGUGAAGCGAGUGCCAAUUCAUUAUACCACCAGGAAUGACGUGCAAUUCGUCCAAAGAUAAGAUCUGCGUAGUAUCUACGCAGAUACACAAGAAAGAAAAAGAGAGCGGGGAGAAGAUUGCGAUAUAAACAUGAUUCAUUGUAUUUAAUAAAAAUUUUGUUUACAGUAUACAACGCGCUACACCGCUUAUACAACGCGACGAAACGUAUGAUUCUAAGAGAACCGUGCAGAUUACGGAUCAGAGGACUUCGGUUCUUCGGUUUCUCAGCUACCGUCUUGUCGAAUGCUACGCAUUUUUCCAUUGCAAAUUAUUAUGCAAUCGUGUCAGCCGGAGGUUUAAUUAAUGACUAAGCCGAUCGAAUAUUUUUAUGGCAAACUCGGAAAAGAAUGUGUGUGUGCGUGCGUGUGUGUGUGUGUGUGUGUGUGUGCUUGAGAAUUAUUUAACAGCGAUUUGAAUCUUUCUUCCUCCUUCCGCGCGCAUUCUUAUCAGCGGUGUUUAACAUAUUACGACGUAGUUGCGGCUAAGAGCGAGCCAAUAUCGAUGCAAUAGAUAUGCAAUACGAGACACAUCAAAUCGGAAGCGUAUGCACGCGACGACGUGGUGAUAUACUGUGCCCGUACGCAUAUCAUAGGCGUAUAACAGAACAGUAAAGUAACAGCUCGCGAAUGUCACACGUCACACCGCGCAAGGACGCGCCAAGACGCGUGCACAGCCCGCUUAACGCGAUCGUAAACGCGUUUUUUUAUUUUUUCGCAGCAGCGCGGAGAAACGCGCAAGAGGAGGCACGUGUAUGCACAGACGUGUGUGUGUGUGCUUGUCUGUGUGGCUCCUUCGCGAUUACCAUUGCUCCGAGGAUUAGACUCGAAGUCGAUUAGUCGUCUCCCGCGGGAGAAAAAAAAACCGACGUUUUUUCGAGACGUCACCACCCCUCUUGCCUCCCCCGAACCUUUCCGAUCGUUUUCAGCCGCGCGUCAUUCGAUGACCAAUGGAAGGAAGGACGCGUGUCGAACAUAUGCUCGUAAAUGUCGUUGAUAUCGACGCCCAAGCGAUGCGGUUGAGCGUGUGACUCAUUGUCGGAGCACUGCGACCCUGAGUUACGGAUUGCCGUAUCGUCCGCGUUCGAUCAACGCAGUCACUAACUAUCUUUCGAACGCCAUUGAUCCUCGCACCCUUCGCUUCCCGAUGGCGCCGGCGGAUUCUGCAUAAAGCGCACUGUUGUUAAAGGUUCUCCUACGUAUGAGUUACGAGUUACGGCGAAAGGGAAAAGCGUAAAGUUCCCCCCGUAGAAAUUUCAACGUCUAAGCGGGAUGACGAAUCCCGCGUACAAACUCAAUCUUUUUUGUAAUGACCUGGGUUAUCUAUGACGGUAAAAAAGAAAAUAUUUAAAAUGGGAAGAUAAGUCUCGGGGAUGGAGAGGGGGUUAGGUCCUGCCUGACGAUCUUCAAAGUCUUAUUUCUGCCAUUCGAAGAACUCAAAGUAAUUAGAGUAUAUUAGAUUGUAUUAUGUAUAACGAUUAGUAAGUUGUAGAUAAAUUAUUAAAUAUAGUGGUACAGAAGUAUUUUAUAUAAAGCUAGUAAAUAGGUACUGCAAUUUGUCUAGUCAAUGUAAUAUGAAUUUUUCAAUUCAUAAAUGUCUUAUCGUAAGCACAGGAUGUCCGAGGUUUUUCUUUGUGCUUCCCUUGAACAUCUUGGUUUUGCUUCCUUCCAGAACAACUACAUAGAGGAAACGCGGGUAAUCUAGAGCAUCCUGAGUGUCCUAUUCAAGAAAAAGUCUACGAGAAAAUUGCUUACAAUUAGCCAAGAGAAGUUAAUAAAAUUUUAGUUUAUUAGAAAAAAUUCGAUGCGCAAAGAGAGAAUGUUUUAUAAUACUUUUUAGAAUAAAAAUCCAUGGUUUUGAAUAAACAUAAAUCGAGUUAAAUCCUAAAGUUAUUAUCAAUAUUUCUCGGAACAUCUCGAUAAGGUGUUUGAAUAUUUUUUGAACGUAAUUAGUUACGUUUUAAUCUCAUUAGAUUUUAAAUUUCCUCGGAGAAUCGAAAAGUUCUAACAUCUUUGUUACAUCCAGAUCCUUCAAAAUUUUAGACUACCCUUAUCCGUGCAUUUGUAGAUUCCUUCUCCAGAAUCCUUAUGUAUGAAUCUUGGCCUUCAAGAACAAGCUUUAUAUUCCAAAGUAGAACGUUAUUAGUCUUUGUUUUUAAUCAUCAGUAAAUUCCAGAUUUAUGCGAUGUAUUUUUCUGCGAAUUUCCACAGAGCAUGACGCAACUGAUAUUGUCAUUGGCGCAUCGGACUAAGACCUACUGAUGAUCACUAUGACUAAUCAUACGUGUUUGCAAUUAGUCGUCUGAAUUCGGGAAGUACUACACUUUCAAGAACUUUAACCACCGUAAAAGGACUGACGUCACCUAAUCGCCAAUUGUAGGCAUUACGGCAAAUAAAAUCAGAAUAAAUUCUCCUUCAUGCGCAAAUGGCACUGAAAAAAGUCUUGUUGCAUUAAUUUUCAAUUAAUAGUAAUUUCGCGACCACAGUACGUCUGUUCAAGAACGGACAAGUCAGAAGACAAUCUUCUGGAAUUAUCGGAUUAUAGUAAAAUCAAUCAAUUCUCUUAUAAAACUUCAAGUGCUAUUAAUUAGAAAUUCCACUUAUAAUUAGUUUCGCGCAUUUAACUGUAUAUGUUUUGUCAAUGCAAUCAAUAUUUUCUCAGCGUACCCAAUUGACGCUUCGCUGCGAACGGACAAAGAGAGUGCCCGGAUAAAAUUACAAGCGGAUCGUGUCGAUAGUAAUUUGGGCCCGGCACGGGGAGACUCAAUCAAUGAUUUUCCACGACUUCACGGGCAAUUUGACUAAUGGCGGCAUCGCUACAGGCCGUGAAAUCGUGGGUUGAAAAGAUAGGGCGCGUCCGAGGGUGAAUCCGACUUGGCAGAGACGACGUCCGUGGAUCCACUCGUGGAUUCGGCCGCGGGCCUUAUUUUGGGCUGACGGACGACGACGACGACGUGGCGCGGGGAACGAAGCUACACGCUGUCUCCGCUCCCGCCACGAAUAACCCGCGGAAUCAUGCCGACUGACUGACUCAUCUGCGUGAAACGUAGUAGGAAACCAUAGCACGGCACGGCGGAGCGAGUUAGCUCGCUCGUUCGCUCGCUCGCUCGCUCGCUCGCUCUCGUCCAGUCUCAAGGAAAUUCCGACGAGUUCGAAGGACGUACGGUCGCUCGUUUUGUCUUGUCCGCGUGCCCGCGCUGAUUCAUCUCUCGCGCUAAUAACCCCACGCGACCCUCAUUUCUUUCUUUCUUUCUCUCUCUGUUCUCUCCUGUAACUCUCCGUCUCCCUCUUCCUUCUCUCCUUCUCUCCCUCCAUCACAUCCGAUAUUUUCAGAGGGAAUUCGAGUCAAUGACCGGAUGUCUGAAUGUGUUGCUCGCGAUGGCCGAUUAACACUUCGGGCCUGGCGAUGAUGGUACCGCAUUACAAUGUCGUGGUGUAAGAUUGCCGAGGUGCAAGCGCGUAAGAAAAAAAAAAUGUAAGCAGUGGUGGAGCCAAAGCAAUCAGCAAACAGAUUACUCACAAUCGGGCAUUCUCGAGAAGGUAAGUCAGAUCGAGGAAAAUGAUUGGGCAAUUCGUUCACUGUUUACAGCUUAAAACGUUUUUCUUUAUCAUUCUUUGUGAUUCAUCAAUUCAUCAAUCGAUUACGUGUACUUGAAUAACUUUUCUUCUGUUUAUAUUUUGCUUGUAUCUACGUGUUACGGAUCUUUAAAUAAUUUUAAGCACCUAUUUUCUGAAUCUUAGAUCUUAGAAAAAAAAA